rnacentral:lncRNA from 1 species
AACUUAAUCCUCCUGGAACACCCCAAUGGAAUGGUGUAUCUGAGAGAAGAAAUCGAACCCUGUUAGACAUGGUCCGAUCCAUGAUGAGUCACGUCGAUGUUCCAAACUCCUUUUGGGGACAUGCACUAUUGACAGCAGCUUACACACUUAACCGUGUUCCAUCCAAAAAGAUUAAGAAGACACCAUAUGAGAUAUGGAGUGGUAAGAAACCAAAUAUGUCUUACAUGAAGAUUUGAGGUUACGAAGUUCAUGUGAAACGACAAGUUUCAACUAAGCUUGAGCCCAAAUCUGACAAAUGCUUAUUUGUGGGGUAUCCUAACGAAACAAGAGGGUAUUACUUCUACAAUCCUUCUGAGGGCAAAGUGUUUGUCGCUCGAACUGAAGUUUUCCUAGAAAAGGAUUUUAUUUCUAAAGGAAUCAGUGGGAGGAAAGUAGAGCUUGAAGAAAUUCAAGAAUCACAAAGCAUUGAUACACCUAUGGAGGAAUUAGAACAGGAAACACAAGUAGUUAUGGAAGAGCAACCUGCUCAAGUAGAACAAGACCAGCGUAGGUCAGGCAGGAUACGUCACCUACCUGAGAGAUAUGGAUAUCUCAUAACUGAUCAAAGUGAUGUAUUACUCAUGGAUCAAGAACGAAGAUGAGCCUUGUGUCUACAAGAAGGUUAGUGGGAGCAUGAUCGUUUUCCUGGUAUUCUAUGUAGAUGACAUAUUACUCAUUGGAAACGAUGUCCCUGCCCUGCAACAAGUAAAGUCUUGGUUGGGGAAAUGCUUUUCUAUGAAGGACCUAGGUGAAGCAGCCUUUAUAUUAGGAAUCAGAAUAUAUAGAGAUAGAUCACAAAACUGCUUGGCCUAAGUCAGAGUACAUACAUACAUAAAGUGCUGAGACGCUUUAAUAUGCAUGAUUCCAAUGGUUAUGUGUUUUUGCUUAAAUGGUGGCACUGUGAGUUGGAAAGGUUCAAAGCAAGAUACAGUUGUUGAUUCUACAACCGAGGCCGAGUAUAUUGCUGCCUCAAGUGCAGCAAAGGAAGUUGUUUGGAUCAAAAAGUUAAUAAGUGAACUUGGUAUGGUUCCUAGAAUUGUGGAUCCCAUUAGUCUCUAUUAUGAUAAUGGUGCUAUCGCACAAGCUAGGGAACCUAGAUCUCACCAACGAUUCAAACACAUACUUAGGUGUUAUCAUCUCAUUCGAGAGAUAAUAGAUAGAGGAGAUGGGAAAAUAUGCAGAGUACCUACACUUGACAAUAUUGCUGACCCACUAACAAAGCCUCUUGCGCAGCAGAAGCAUGAUGGCCAUACGAGAUCUAUAGGCAUUAGAGGUAUACCUGAUUGGCUCUAGUGCUAGUGGGAGACUGUUGGUGUAAGCCCUAGAGGCCAAUACUUUUGGUACUUGUAUCGAAUUAUUUAUUAAUAAUAAAAGGCUUUUUCUUUAUUAUGUUUGUUUAAUAAAGUCCCUAGAAUAACCAGUCCAUUUAAUGUAUCAAGUGUGACUUGAUCAUGAGAUCACAUUAAACAUAAGGACACUAUUCUUAAAGUAUCCUUAGUCGAGCUUUAUUGUGAAGUGGGAUAACAUUAAAGCAUUAAGACUAUUUGUAUCAUAGAUGAUGAUCACAUCUCAUGGAUCAUGGAUAAGGAGUUAUCAAGUCUUAACAUAGGUAUGAAUUUAAGAUAAUAUUUAUACUGAUUGACCCGUAUGAGAAUACUAUAUAGAAAGUAUGCAAAGUGUUAUAAGUUAUUCUGCAUGGUGAUAAUGGUGUAUACCACCCUUCGACCUGAAACCACUAUGGACCUAGAUGUAGGCGAGUGGCUUUAUUGCUAUCAAACGAUCUGUACGUAACUGGAUAACCAUAAAUACACUUGAUGGGUACUGCACGAAGCAUGCUGAGACAUGAUGUGACCUAGAUGGAAUUUUCCCAUCCUGCGUAACAGGAUAAAUGUCUAUGGGCCCAAUAUUGAACUGGACAAGGAUGACACAGUCUAUGCCUUGUGUUCAAUAUAGACAUAAGGGCAAAAGGGUAAUUAUAUGAAUAAGUAUUAUCACAGAAGGUUUUGUCAUAUCACAUGACAUUUUCGUGUCUUGGGUAGCAGUGAUGUGUUGCUAGAUACCGCUCACUGUUUAUUAUGUUAAAUGUGUGAUUUAAUAUAAUUGUCAAUGCCGCGGAAACCUACAGGGUCACACACAAAGGACGAAUUGAUGAGAGAUAGAGUAACUAAGGAAUACCGUAAGGUACGAUGCACUUAAGUGAAUUAUAGAACAUCGUAAGGUACGGUGUACUUAACUAGAAUACGAAAUAUGGUAAGGUACCAUGGGCUUAAGUGAUUUUUGGCAUAUUAUAAGAUAUGGGCCAAAAUACACUUAAGUGGGCUUUUUAGCUUGAAGCCCACACAAGUGGUUCUCUAAAUAGAACCCUUGUGUAGAAGCAUUUAUUGCGGUUGCAUUAUUUUCGUUCUCUCUCUCUCUCUCUCUCUCUCUCUCUCUCUCUCUCUCUCUCUCUCUCCCUCUCUAUAGCUUGAAGCCCACACAAGUGGUUCUCUAAAUAGAACCCUUGUGUAGAAGCAUUUAUUGCGGUUGCAUUAUUUUCGUUCUCUCUCUCUCUCUCUCUCUCUCUCUCUCUCUCUCUCUCUCUCUCCCUCUCUCUCUCUCUCACACACACACACACUCAAAGCCUUCAUUCAUAACAGCUAGCACUGAGAUUGAAUGAAUCCGUUCGUGUGGACUGAGUAGAGACGUUGUCAUUGUUCAACGUUUGUGAUCGCUCCAUAGAUCUGCAUCAAAGGUUUUGAUCGUCACAAGAGAUCUGCACCAAAGGUUUCAAUCGUCACAAGAGGUAACUAUUCUAUCACUGAUCAUGACCAUUCGUAAGGAACUCUAAAGGAGAAAUUUUAAUUCCCGCUGCGUUUUGGAUCGCAAUUCUCCUUCAGUACCAUCUUCUUGGUUAAGUCCUGAUAGCUAAUGAUCGAGAACCUAGGUAGACUCAUAUACAGUCGCAAAGCACCCUCUUUAAAGGUUCUGACCAUGAGUUUACACUUAAGGGAGUCAGAAGUCCCUGCUAUUACCAUAUGACUAUUGAUCGUAAUGAUAUGCUCAUGUGAGUCAGUUUUACCAUCGAAAGAUACUAGCAUUGGUCGCUUGAAGUUUUUUGGGACUUGAUUAUCCUAGAUAGCUUCUGAAAAAGGUUGGGAAUCUAGAGUGUCCUCCUCUGCGUCCCCUUCCUAUAGACUUUGUAUUUUCAAAACUUGGGAACUGUCUUGCAAGACUUCAUUUUAUGGACGGAGUUCUUCCACCACUGCGAGCAAUUGAGCCAUAUCUGAUGGCGAAGGUGGAUCGCUUAGGCUGGGGGAUGAUCCUGAAAUCGUCCAACUGAAGUAUUAAUGAUUUUGAUGAUGUUUUUGUGUGUCCUUGGAAUGUUUUACCGAGGCCCCAUUGUGGGCGGCAAAUGUUCUUGCUAAAAAAUACUAAAAGUUUAACUUCCUUGUUUUCAAUCAAGGAGAGACUAAAACGAUUGGUUGGAGUGUAUUUUAUGUAUUUCUUGUCUCGUGUUUUUCCUGUUCUUUACCCUCAAAACAUUUUCCUAUUUAUAGGUCCCAAUAUCUUCCUUUUCUUCUCUGUUUCACUCUUCAUAUUCUUCAUAAAUACAUAUGCCAGCAACGUGUGUCGUCCAUAUAAUUACUAUGUAAUGUCCGCCUCUUCAAUAAUUAUAACUCACUUGUCAUAAUGCAUCAUUCUAUAACUAUUUCUUACGACCCUUCAAAUGACAUCUUAACCUUGUCAUCAGAUCUGACGUGCACGAACUAGAUCAUUCCUGACCUAUAUGAGGUCGACUCAGUCUAGCUUAUUUUGAGUCCCUAACCAGAUUCUGAUUAGCAGGUAUAAACACGGUUAUCCGACCUGCUAGCCACACCAUACUUGGAUGUCCCACCAACUCGGCCUCAGGGAACUCUGGGAUGUGCAUAAAUGUUCUUCCGAUCUUAUAUCUCGGUUGGUCAAACUAAUUUUUCAGGAUGUACAUAAGAUUCGAUCUUAUAUCCCGAGCAUGAAAUCUUGAUUUUUAUUCCGAUCUAGGAUGUGCAUAAGUGUUCUUCCAAUAUUUAUUGUUGCUUUGUUGAAGCGGACGAGGUAUUCCCUUAGUGAUUCUACAUGACAUUGGAGGAUGUUGAAUAGAACGGCGAAGGUCAUUUUCUAUGCAUUCUUGCGAUGAAUUGAUGAAUAAUUUUAUUCAUUAGGUCUUGAUAGUUGGUGUCAGAGAGUCGAGAGGAGGCCCAUAAACUAUCUCAGAGUUGUAUCUCUGAAGGUUCCAGAUAGAAGUUUACACUUGAAGGAGUUAUGUGUCCCAAUGUUGGCCAUCUGAGUGUGUAUGGAGGCUACAUGUUCGAAUGGGUCCAUGCAUCUAUCGAAUUUAGCCAAUGAUGGUGACUUUAUGUUUUAUGGGAUUAACGUCUCCCAUAUCUCGUUUGAUUGAGGUUGAGGAUCCAAUACCUCCAAUUCGUCCACCAUGUUUAUCUCCUACUAGCACUAUUGGAUAUGAAGGAUGUUAUCCUCCAAGGUAUUAUUCUGGCAAUAAAGAUCAUCCAUAGAAACACACAUCUCUGCUAUGAAACUUUCCUCAUCACCAAAUUCUUCGCUGGCCAAAGACAUUGCCUUUUUUUCCACCAUGAUGGAUAAAGAGGAUGAACGUGAAGAUAAUAAUUCGGUUGAAUGUUGUGAUUUUGACUCAGGUUAGUUUUACCAGGGCCCAUGGUGGGUGCCAAUUAUACUCGCUAAAAGUAAAAAUGUGUGAUAACCCUUCGUGAUUAAGAGUCGUUAGAGGCUUUAAUAUUUUUGUAGGAUUAUAGGUAGCUCACAUGAGGUAAGAAGCUCAUGUAUGUGUGUAUUUAUAUGUAUUAGUUUUCCUUCUCAACAACAUUAAUAGGACAUUUAUAUUCGUAUCGGGCCUGGAUUUUAGACCUCCUUGGAAAUAUCAACUACUCAAAGAAUAUGCAAUUUUCCUCAUAAUAUUUAAGGGAGCAUGACCCACCUUUCUCAUGACUCUUUAUGUGCCUUUACAGGGGGAGAACAUAUAUCUCAUUUUUACGCUUAGGCGAUUUAACCCAGAGAAGGGCGAUACAUCUAAUUAAAGGACGACACAUUCAACAAAUGGGUAGUUGAUAUGAUAAACAGAUGAAUAGAAAUCUCAGUGUUGCCUUUUAUGAUCAUUUUAUGAAUAGAUUGAUACACAUACCACUAAGGCUUUCAGCCACAAGCAAAAAAAAGGAAAGGAGUAAGGGGUCAUCUUGCUUCAAAUCUCAUAUUAUGCUAACUUCUUGGGGUUGACAACUAUUAACCAGAACCACAUGAUUUCCAUCAAAAAACAGGAACAAAUCCUGGAUUCCCACUUUGCAAUAAAUUCAAACCACCUGAGCAUACAAUCCAGAAAACUCCAUAUUAAUGAAUCAUACAUUUUCUCAAAGUUCACCUUAAAAAUGAGGCAGAACUUUUUGGUUUUCUUAGUUAGAUCCACAAACUCAUUCAUAGUCACCACCCCACAGUCUGAAAAUAUACCCUUAAGAUUGACCGUCUGAUUAGGGUAUAUGAGAUCUUUAUCACCUAAGCAAGUCUAGCAUCCAUAAAUUGAUCAACCAAAUAAUAAAGAGAUCUCAUUAGACAGAUAUGGAAAAAAAAUACCUUAGAUUAGAAGGAGAGUGAAGCUUAGGGAUCAGAUUGACAAAAUAAGAUGAGAAAUAAUGUGUAAGGGAAACAAACUAAUGAAACUGAUUAAACAUCAUCCAUUAUCUUCUCUAAGAAGGGGACAAAAUAUCUUUAGAAAAGAGAAGUUAAAUCCAUUUUCCCCUGCUCUCUUAAGCCCGUCAUAAGAGGUUACCGCCUUAUCAAUCUUAAUCUAAUCCCACCAAAAUGCAAACGAUCUACCAGAGCUUCUUCAAACUGUUAUAAAAAAUAGUAACCACCUAUUGACCGAUCUUUGUAACCUCGUCGAUAUAUGUAUCACUCAUUUUAAGGUAUAGGAUAGUAUUCCUUCCGGCACUACUCUUCAUACAAGCAUGGAAUAAGCAAGAAUUAGUAUCACUCUCCUUAAGUCAUUUGGCUUUGGAUCUCUAAAACCAUUGAGAGUCUUUAAUCCUAAACAAGAACCAUAGAUUCGUAAUCAUUCUUGAUCUAGCCACCACCUUAUCAACAGAGAAAGCCUCGAGAUAAAAUUUGGAAUCAAGAGAGCAACCACCUCUUUCACCAUCCGUUUCAAAUAUUUGAGUUUCUCUUUAAAGGAUAAAGCUUUCUAGCCAGUGGAGAUGGAAACAUUCUAACAGGUAUGAACUAGCUCUACAAAGCCAUUAUGAGCAAACCAAUGAUUGUUAAAUCUAAAGGCUUAGAACUUUCAAGUUGAUUAAAAUAGUUUUUAGAUUAUUAAAAAGCAGGGCCAAACGGAUGUUGUAUGUUGAAGGGACAAUGACAAAAAUUUGAUCUACUUCAAAAUCAUAUAAGAAUACUUAUUUUAGAAAAUGUGUUUUACAAUUCUCAAAGGAUUAAAAAAGUUUUAAUAUGUAAAUAGAACACGGGCUUUGUAAGCUAUAAAUAAGUAAAAUUAUAUUCUACCUAAUACAUCAAAAGAAAAGGAAAAAUUAUGGGUGAAAUUGUCAAGUUGGUUUGUAUAAUGAUUAUCUUUAUUUUCCUAUUUUUUGUUGCAGUGAACGUUGAUGGUAAACUUUUUAUUUAUCAUUUAUAUAUUUUAUUUUUUACUUCUUACGUAAUAUUUUAUACUAUUUUAGUAGCAUUCAUUAUUUUAUUGUUUUUAUUUCAUUUCAGCUGAAGCUAUAGAAUGUACUAAAGAAUCCGGUUGUCCAAAACGUUAUUGCCCGGCACCUCUUCUAGCAAACUGUGUUAGAAGCAAGUGUAAAUGUAUUAUAUAGUAAAAAAAAAAAGAGUUGUAAAAAUAUAUAAUUAAUACCAAAAAGAAAAAAAUUUGUAUAUAAACAAAUAUAAUAAAAUAAAAACAAUAGGAAGGGCAAAGAAAUAUUUAUAUAUAACUAUAUAUAUAUAUAUAUAUAUAUUAUAUAUAUUAAUAUAUAUAUAUUAUAUAUAAAAUAUUAUAUAUAUAUUAGAAUAUAUAUUAUAUAUUUGUAUGUUUUUACUAGUUGGGUAUUGAAAAGAUACACAUUAUAUAUUACAAGACUGUAGAAUGAUUCUAAUUUAAGAAAAAAUUAAACAAUGUUCAUACGCAUCAAAGUAACAUUUAUUUAUUCUCCUUUCUUCUUUAUACACACGGUAUUGGACAUAAUUGUUUAAGAUUUUGUCUGCCUUAAAAAAAACUUUAAGUUUUUUAAUUAGUUAGAAACUUUUAAGGUUGUUAUUGUUGUUACAUUCAUUUGUUGAAGAAAUUAAUUUUAUCAUUUUUUGAAUAAAUAUUUUUAUUUGCAAUUAGUUUUUUUUAUCAAUUUCCUUCCUAUAAGUAUUGAGAUUUAGUCUCUUUUGAAGUUUUGUUUUAGAUGUGAAGACUGGUUUAAGGUUCUUUGAUUAUAGAAAAAUAGAUUUAGUUACAUAUGAACUCUAGUGAGAUAGUAAAUAUAACCUCUUUAUUAGAAUGAUGUUUUUCCCUCAUUUUGUAAUUAUUCUGUUUCGAUCAAUACAAAAAAAUUUGAAACUUUUUUCUCUCCUUCCUUCCAUAGAUACAAUAUCGAAUUCAAUUUGAUUCAGAUGGAUUUAAAUUAUUUUUAAACAAAAUCGUGCGGUUUUAAUUUACACACUUUACGAUUUGUAUUUUACAAACCAAACCGAACAAAAUCACAUUAUGUUACAAAAUCUUAACAAAUUAUUAAUAUUUCUUUUAAAUAUUUUAGAGAACUCAACAAAUACUUAUCGCGUAUAUUUUAUCCGUAUUUUUUUAUAUGAUAUGGUGUUUCAUUAUAUAUCAAUAAAAAUAAUAUAUUAUUUAUUUACAAUUAUUAUGUUGGAUUAACUCUUGAACAUUAUUAUAUAUUUAUUUUUGUUUUCACUUUUAAUUGUUUGAGUGCAUAUAGAUUAAAAGAAAAUGUUCCAAUUUACAACUACUUUUGUAUAUUUUUUUAUAUAUAAUUAUUAAUAACAAUUUUGAAUUUAAUUUAAGAAUGCAAAUUUCAUAUAUUACCUUAGAUAUUAAGAUAAAAUUGUAAUAGCGCAUUUGAUAUUGUAUGGUAUCACAUUAUAAUUUAUUAUAUAGUAUAAUGGCUAAACAUACAAUUAUGUUAUCAGUAUAUGAUAUAUAUAUAUAUAUAUAUAUAUAUAUACUAUAUAUAUAUAUAUAUUAAAUUUAUAUAUAUAUAUAUAUUAUAUAUAUAUAAUAUAUAUAAUAUUUAAUAAAAAUUUAAUAAAAAAAAUAAAAAUCAAAUCAAUUCAAAUCGGAUUAGUUUAGUUUGAUUUGUAAUGGAUUUAUUUCUUAAAAUUAAUCGAAUUAAAUUGAAUUAUACAUUUUUUUUCUCAUGACUUUUAGGGUCUAAACUAUCAAAAAAGAAUACUAUACUCAAACUUAAACGAGGGUAUAAUAUUCCAUAUAUUGUUAUUUGGUUAUUGUUUUAGUUAUUUAGAGUUGAUGUCAAUGACUUUACGAUUUUAGCUUUGUUUUCGGUGUUAAUAUAUUUUUCUAUUUCAAUAUAUCUUAGCUUUAUUAUCUUAACUGUUUAAUGUAUUUUUCUAUUUCAAUAAGUGCAUCUCAUCACAUCUUUAAUUCUCUAUGUUUUUAUAUUCUUUGAGAGAGAUCAUAAGCUUUCUUUUGUAAAUUAACUGCACUAUUUUUUUAUAAGCAAAAGCCAAAUGGAUUAGAUGAUAAAUACGAGGGAUGCUCAACCCAAAGUGCAAGAGGACACAAACACUACAAAGGUCCAACACCAAACCAUGAAACAUAGGGCAUUAGAUCAGAAUUCCACACCUCGCACUCUAGACUAAUUCUCCCUGUCAAACUACGUGCCAACAUAGACCACAUAGACCAACAAUGAGGUUGUUUUCAAAGAUAAACUAAGAAACGUAGGGAACUAGAUCAGAAUUCCACACAUCCCACUCUAGACUCAUAUGUUGUAGUAUUAAAGUCAACCGUCUUUGUUUGAUGUGCCACCUCUACAGGUCCACACAUGAGUAGCACAUGACCUUCACAGGUAGACAAAUGGCAUAUACAUGGCAUAUACAGGUUGACCUAUGCUUCGAAUAGGUUGGCACCUAACUUUCAUAGGUCGAGCUAUGCAACGAAAAUUUCCAACAAUUCACAAUUUUUUCAAUUCUUUUGCAUUCUUUUGCCUCCAAACAUGCAUGCAUAUAAAUACUUCAUACAUGCAUCAUUUACUAGUAAGGUUUCUAAUGAGUAAGACCUAUACGAAACCGGAAUUUCAAAGUAUUCUCAUUAUCUUCAAUCUCUCUUCUAUGCAUACACACAAUCAAACUACACAUAAUCAUUUUUUGAUUGGGUGUCAUCUAGAUUAGGGUUGAUAACAUCCAAUUUAGGUUGAUUGUACUGUAAAAUUGGGUUGAGAACUUUGAGGGUUUCAAAUCAGAAAAUCAAGGUGGCGUUUUCCUUCAAGAUCUUUUAGGGUUUAAAGAUUUUGGACAAGAUUAUGCAAUUCGGAUCUGAUCGAGUGAAGUCUUUGAAGAACGGAAGAUUCUUGGCAAAGGAGUAGUGUGGGACGAUGGAUCACAUUGGUAAAUCUUGGGUUUAACAAGUGCGCGUUUGGGAUUCAAUCGAGUGGAAGCUUUGAAAAAUAAGGGGUUUCUUGCAAAGAAAUAGCAUGAGACGGUGAAUCGAAUCGACAUUGUUGAUUACUUGAUCAAGAUUUAAUCAAGAGAAGAGAAGGUGGUAGAAUUAACAUCAAGCCUAGGGUUUGUAGGGUUAGAUUCUACAUUUCUCUUGUACACAUACAUUUGCAAAUUAAGAUAUAUUACACUAUCUUGAUUCGCAUUCGAAUUGAGGGUAGACGUACCCAUAGCGAGGUUGAUUGAGGAACUGCCUAAAUAAAUUCUUGUGUACUCUCUCUCUCUCUUUUAUUUUUCAGUUUGCAAACUAUCGAUUUCAUUGAUCGUUUGAUCAAUUUUGUUUGGAUCAUAAUUUUGAACAUAUUUUGAAAUUGAUGUUGUUUUGUAGAUCACAUACCAUUUAGCUAUGAUUGAAUUUUAAGAACGACAAUAUCACAUAGAAUUUCAAACAUUAUUGAUCGCACACUAAGUGUUCAACAAAUUGCUUCACUUGAUUUUUUGUGUGAUUUUUCAUUGGAAGUCGACUUUCCUUAUUACUUUACAUUCAACUAGUUGUGAUUAGUUGUUGUUGAUUGAUUUGUGAAUCAUUAUCAUAUCGUUGUCACUACUAUGCAUAUCCGAGCUUUUUGAUAGCGGAUUCGGUUAGCCGAUUUCUGAUCCGGGAAAUUUUAAACUUUCUUCCGCGCCAUAAAUUUUUAAAACCUAUUUUUUGUCAAAGUUUUAACUCGGGAUCUAUUCACCCCCUAUAGAUCUAAGCCUAUUGUCUAACAGAUACACUUUCAUUAAAAUAUCAACAUGUUUUGCAUUGAGAAACAUGAAAUAUUUGUAAAAGUUAUCAUAGGGCUUCCGGGAAGGUUUUGUUGUUAACCUUUCCCUCGACCCGUACUUGUGGUGCUCUCUCCUGAGGCUGAAUCCUUUGUGUCUAGAUUUAAUUUUUUAUUUAGAAUCCCAGGAUCUUUUCUCCAUGUUACUCUCCUCCCUUUUGACAUAAUAUUCCGCAAUCCUCAUGACCUUCUCCAUGCUAGUGGUCGGCUUCUGCACCAAUGACUCGUUAAAGUGACCGGUCUUUAGACCAUUUUGGAAAGCUCCUAUGAACAUCUCCUGAUUGGAUGAGAGACUUUAAUGGUUUCUUCAUUGAAUUGCGCCAUAUAUUCUUGGAGGGACUCAGAGAACCCCUGAAGGAUAUUAAACAAACUGGUGGUAGUCACCUUUCUAUGCUUGUUGGAGGAGAAAUGUUGUAUCAUUUUUUAGUCAAGUUUUGGUAGAUGAUAACUGAUAGUCUAUGCAAACUCAUGUACCAAUGUAACGCUACAUCUUUGAAGGUUCCCACCAUGAGUUUUCAUUUCAGGAAGUCGGAAGCUCUGACUAUUGACAUAUGAUUAUUGAUUGAUAUUAUGUGUUCUUAAGGAUCACUUUUUCCAUCGAAGGAUGGCAAAUGCAGUGGUUUAAAUUUUUUUGGGCCUUGGUCUCCCCAAAUCACUUAUGAUAGAUGUUGAGGAUCAAGGAGUUCUUCCUCGUCUUCCCCUUCCUUAGUGUUAUGUGACUGCUGCAAUGCAUGGACACUUUGUUGUAGAGACUCAUUCUACUGGUGCAUGUUCUCUAUAAUUGCUAGGAGUUGUGCCAUGUAUGGAGGAGUCUGAGAUUCCGUCUUGCUAGGAUAUGAUCUAGACAUUGCUUUGCUGUGAUAAAUGUACAGUUUUUGUGAGGCCUGAGAAAUUUUUAUUGUGGCUCCACGGUGGGCGCCAAAUGUUCUUGCUAAACACUUUUUGGAGAAACAUCCUUGAAGCUAGCCAGGUGAAGUCACAAUCGUUCAAUUUUGUUAUGAGGUAUUAGUUGUUUUUAUUCCUCUUUGAGAAGUUUCCUUUUUAUACUUAUCCCCUCACCAAUGACCCUUAAAAUGAUGCCUCUCCAUAUCCCAUGUUUAAGUAAUAUAUGAUAACAUCCGCCAUCUUCCUUGAGUAACGCCUCUUCCUUAAUUUCUAUAACUGCAAUGCAAUCAUGGAUGUUUCGUAAUCAUCAUCUGUGAUUGUUCAUGUUACCUCCUGACAUCAUUCUAGAGAUCGGAUCCGCCUUGUUUACCUACCAGCGUCACUACAUGACAUGAUCCGACUUGCUUACGUCUCAUAACAAUAUCUCCUUGACCAUGGUCCGACCUACUUAGAGUUUAUGUCAUCCGACGUGUUUGCCCUUUUAUACUCGACCUACAUAAGCUCGGUCUUUGGGAAUUACGGGAUGUACAGUAUUAUUGAAUAAUAUUAGAAAUUAUCAUUUUUUUUAAAUUGCAAAUAUAUUUAUANNNNNNNNNNNNNNNNNNNNNNNNNNNNNNNNNNNNNNNNNNNNNNNNNNNNNNNNNNNNNNNNNNNNNNNNNNNNNNNNNNNNNNNNNNNNNNNNNNNNNNNNNNNNNNNNNNNNNNNNNNNNNNNNNNNNNNNNNNNNNNNNNNNNNNNNNNNNNNNNNNNNNNNNNNNNNNNNNNNNNNNNNNNNNNNNNNNNNNNNNNNNNNNNNNNNNNNNNNNNNNNNNNNNNNNNNNNNNNNNNNNNNNNNNNNNNNNNNNNNNNNNNNNNNNNNNNNNNNNNNNNNNNNNNNNNNNNNNNNNNNNNNNNNNNNNNNNNNNNNNNNNNNNNNNNNNNNNNNNNNNNNNNNNNNNNNNNNNNNNNNNNNNNNNNNNNNNNNNNNNNNNNNNNNNNNNNNNNNNNNNNNNNNNNNNNNNNNNNNNNNNNNNNNNNNNNNNNNNNNNNNNNNNNNNNNNNNNNNNNNNNNNNNNNNNNNNNNNNNNNNNNNNNNNNNNNNNNNNNNNNNNNNNN